AUUGUCCUUGAUGAUCUAAUUAACUUAAGCUUGAGUUUAACGACCAUGAAAAAACUCACAUGCACUACCAUCUGAGACAAA